AGUCAACCUACCCUAUGGACGGGAAUAAUCUCGGGAAACUGAGGAUAAUUCCAGAUAGAACACUAUGCCUGGAACGGUUUGUGUUCCAAAUGAUUUAUCGCCGUAGGAUGGGACUGCGUCCUAUCAGUUUGUUGGUGAGGUAAUGGCCCACCAAGACUAUUACAGGUACGGGCUCUGAGAGGAGUAGCCCGGAGAUGGGUACUGAGACACGGACCCAGGCCCUAUGGGGCGCAGCAGGCGAGAAAACUUUGCAAUGUGCGAAAGCACGACAAGGUUAAUCCGAGUGGUUCCUGCUAAAGGAACCUUUUGACGGUCCUAAAAACACCGUUGAAUAAGGGGUGGGCAAGUUCUGGUGUCAGCCGCCGCGGUAAAACCAGCACCUCAAGUGGUCAGGAUGAUUAUUGGGCCUAAAGCAUCCGUAGCCGGCUCUGUGAGUUUUCGGUUAAAUCUGUGCGCUCAACGUACAGGCUGCCGGGAAUACUGCAGAGCUAGGGAGUGGGAGAGGUAGACGGUACUUGGUAGGAAGGGGUAAAAUCCUUUGAUCUAUUGAUGACCACCUGUGGCGAAGGCGGUCUACCAGAACACGUCCGACGGUGAGGGAUGAAAGCUGGGGGAGCAAACCGGAUUAGAUACCCGGGUAGUCCCAGCUGUAAACCAUGCAAACUCAAUGAUGCAUUGGCUUGGAGCCAAUGCAGUGUU
rnacentral:rRNA from 1 species